rnacentral:rRNA from 1 species
UACGUAGGGACCAAGCGUUGUUCGGAUUUACUGGGCGUAAAGGGCGCGUAGGCGGCAUAUUAAGUCAGCUGUGAAAUCUCCGAGCUUAACUCGGAACUGUCAGCUGAUACUGAUGUGCUAGAGUGCAGAAAGGGCAAUCAGAAUUCUUGGUGUAGCGGUGAAAUGCGUAGAUAUCAAGAGGAAUACCUGAGGCGAAGGCGGGUUGCUAGGCUGACACUGACGCUGAGGUGCGAAAGCGUGGGGAGCAAACAGG